rnacentral:rRNA from 1 species
GAUGAACGCUGGCGGCGUGCCUAAUACAUGCAAGUCGAGCGAACGGACGAGAAGCUUGCUUCUCUGAUGUUAGCGGCGGACGGGUGGGUAACACGUGGAUAACCUACCUAUAAGACUGGGAUAACUUCGGGAAACCGUAGCUAAUACCGGAUAAUAUUUUGAACCGCAUGGUUCAAAAGUGAAAGACGGUCUUGCUGUCACUUAUAGAUGGAUCCGCGCUGCAUUAGCUAGUUGGUAAGGUAACGGCUUACCAAGGCAACGAUGCAUAGCCGACCUGAGAGGGUGAUCGGCCACACUGGAACUGAGACACGGUCCAGACUCCUACGGGAGGCAGCAGUAGGGAAUCUUCCGCAAUGGGCGAAAGCCUGACGGAGCAACGCCGCGUGAGUGAUGAAGGUCUUCGGAUCGUAAAACUCUGUUAUUAGGGAAGAACAUAUGUGUAAGUAACUGUGCACAUCUUGACGGUACCUAAUCAGAAAGCCACGGCUAACUACGUGCCAGCAGCCGCGGUAAUACGUAGGUGGCAAGCGUUAUCCGGAAUUAUUGGGCGUAAAGCGCGCGUAGGCGGUUUUUUAAGUCUGAUGUGAAAGCCCACGGCUCAACCGUGGAGGGUCAUUGGAAACUGGAAAACUUGAGUGCAGAAGAGGAAAGUGGAAUUCCAUGUGUAGCGGUGAAAUGCGCAGAGAUAUGGAGGAACACCAGUGGCGAAGGCGACUUUCUGGUCUGUAACUGACGCUGAUGUGCGAAAGCGUGGGGAUCAAACAGGAUUAGAUACCCUGGUAGUCCACGCCGUAAACGAUGAGUGCUAAGUGUUAGGGGGUUUCCGCCCCUUAGUGCUGCAGCUAACGCAUUAAGCACUCCGCCUGGGGAGUACGACCGCAAGGUUGAAACUCAAAGGAAUUGACGGGGACCCGCACAAGCGGUGGAGCAUGUGGUUUAAUUCGAAGCAACGCGAAGAACCUUACCAAAUCUUGACAUCCUUUGACAACUCUAGAGAUAGAGCCUUCCCCUUCGGGGGACAAAGUGACAGGUGGUGCAUGGUUGUCGUCAGCUCGUGUCGUGAGAUGUUGGGUUAAGUCCCGCAACGAGCGCAACCCUUAAGCUUAGUUGCCAUCAUUAAGUUGGGCACUCUAAGUUGACUGCCGGUGACAAACCGGAGGAAGGUGGGGAUGACGCCAAAUCAUCAUGCCCCUUAUGAUUUGGGCUACACACGUGCUACAAUGGACAAUACAAAGGGCAGCGAAACCGCGAGGUCAAGCAAAUCCCAUAAAGUUGUUCUCAGUUCGGAUUGUAGUCUGCAACUCGACUACAUGAAGCUGGAAUCGCUAGUAAUCGUAGAUCAGCAUGCUACGGUGAAUACGUUCCCGGGUCU